UACAGAGACUGCAAGCGUUAUUCGGAUUCACUGGGCGUAAAGGGCGCGCAGGCGGCCGUGUGUGUCAGGUGUGAAAGCCCGGAGCUUAACUCCGGAAUUGCGCCUGAAACUACAUGGCUAGAGCAUUGGAGAGGGUAGCGGAAUUCACGGUGUAGCAGUGAAAUGCGUAGAUAUCGUGAGGAACACCAGAGGCGAAGGCGGCUACCUGGACAAUUGCUGACGCUCAGGCACGAAAGCGUGGGGAGCAAAAGGG
rnacentral:rRNA from 1 species